CCUACGGGAGGCAGCAGUCGAGAAUCAUUCACAAUGGGGGAAACCCUGAUGGUGCGACGCCGCGUGGGGGAAUGAAGGUCUUCGGAUUGUAAACCCCUGUCAUGUGGGAGCAAAUUAAAAAGAUAGUACCACAAGAGGAAGAGACGGCUAACUCUGUGCCAGCAGCCGCGGUAAUACAGAGGUCUCAAGCGUUGUUCGGAAUCACUGGGCGGAAAGCGUGCGUAGGCUGUUUCGUAAGUCGUGUGUGAAAGGCGCGGGCUCAACCCGCGGACGGCACAUGAGACUGCGAGACUAGAGUAAUGGAGGGGGAACCGGAAUUCUCGGUGUAGCAGUGAAAUGCGUAGAUAUCGAGAGGAACACUCGUGGCGAAGGCGGGUUCCUGGACAUUAACUGACGCUGAGGCACGAAGGCCAGGGGAGCGAAAGGGAUUAGAUACCCGAGUAGUC
rnacentral:rRNA from 1 species